AGCAGCCGCGGUAAUUCCAGCUCCAAUAGCGUAUAUUAAAGUUGUUGUAGUUAAAAAGCUCGUAGUUGAAUUUCGGGAUUUAUCCGUCGGUCGGGCUUUUGGGUCUGUACUGGGGUGAUGAAUUCCUACCUUCUGAAUAACCAGCAUGCCAUUAAUUUGAUGCGCCGGGGAAGCAGGACUGUUACCUUGAAAAAUUAAGAGUGCUUAAAGACAGGCUAUUGCCUGAAUACAUUAGCAUGGAAUAAUGAAAUAGGACGGCAUGGUUCUAUUUUGUUGGUUUCUAGGAUCACCGUAAUGAUUAAUAGGGAUAGUUGGGGGCAUUAGUAUUCAAUUGUCAGAGGUGAAAUUCUUGGAUUUAUUGAAGACUAACUUCUGCGAAAGCAUUUGCCAAGGAUGUUUUCAUUAAUCAAGAACGAAAGUUAGGGGAUCGAAGACGAUCAGAUACCGUCGUAGUCUUAACCAUAAACUAUGCCGACUAGGGAUCGGACGAUGUUAAUUUUUUAAUGACUCGUUCGGCGCC
rnacentral:misc_RNA from 1 species